CUUAAAGAAACACACACAAAACUCUGAGUGAACUCAGCAGGCCAGGCAACAGAUAUGGAAAAGAGUAAAUCGUCGGCGUUUCGUCCAAGACCCUUCAUCGGGAACUCACUCUGUUCCUAACCCACAACUCCCAAAUCAGACAAAUAUUCCUUGGCUCACUGUUUCGACUGAAGGCCUUGAUGCGUGACAAUCCGUGGGGUGGAGGGCGAGCAGGUGGUCAGAAGACUCAAAGUUAUACCAGCAAAACUUGUCCGACAGAGUCUGCAUCCCAUUUCAGAAAAAGGGGUCUCUCCUAUUCGGUGGCAGUGUCCACUGUUCCUAGAAACCCCCAUCAUCGCAAGCGCCCUCUCUGCAUUCACUCUAUCAGGACCUUUCGCCGUUUGAUGGGGUUCAAUGAGGCCCCGGAGUGACUACCUGCCGACAGCUCGUCUCUAUCACCUCCUCACUCUCCCUGACCAGACGAAGGUUUUCGAGCGGCAUCUCCGGUUCCCUAACCAUGUCCUUCAGGAGCUGCAAGCGCUUAGAAUUUUUGCGUUAAAACUCAUGUUUGUUUGCAUUAAAGUGAGAGGGAGGGAGAGCAAUUGAACAUGGGCUGUGGGGACAAAGUGGACGAUAUAUUAAUGGUAUGAGAUGGAGAGAGAGAGAGGGAGUUUAUGGAAGAAAUAAAGAAAACAA